GGCGGCAUAGCUCAGCUGGCUAGAGCGUUCGGUUCAUACCCGAGAGGUCACAAGUUCGAUCCUUGUUGCCGCUACCA
rnacentral:tRNA from 1 species